rnacentral:rRNA from 1 species
CGGAAUCUGCCUAUUUGUGGGGGAUAACGUAGGGAAACUUACGCUAAUACCGCAUACGACCUACGGGUGAAAGCGGAGGACCUUCGGGCUUCGCGCAGAUUGAUGAGCCGAUGUCGGAUUAGCUAGUUGGCGGGGUAAAGGCCCACCAAGGCGACGAUCCGUAGCUGGUCUGAGAGGAUGAUCAGCCACACUGGAACUGAGACACGGUCCAGACUCCUACGGGAGGCAGCAGUGGGGAAUAUUGGACAAUGGGCGCAAGCCUGAUCCAGCCAUGCCGCGUGGGUGAAGAAGGCCUUCGGGUUGUAAAGCCCUUUUGUUGGGAAAGAAAAGCAGUCGGUUAAUACCCGAUUGUUCUGACGGUACCCAAAGAAUAAGCACCGGCUAACUUCGUGCCAGCAGCCGCGGUAAUACGAAGGGUGCAAGCGUUACUCGGAAUUACUGGGCGUAAAGCGUGCGUAGGUGGUUUGUUAAGUCUGAUGUGAAAGCCCUGGGCUCAACCUGGGAAUUGCAUUGGAUACUGGCAGGCUAGAGUGCGGUAGAGGGUAGUGGAAUUCCCGGU